rnacentral:rRNA from 1 species
AGAGUUUGAUUCUGGCUCAGAACGAACGCUGGCAGCGUGGAUUAGGCAUGCAAGUCGAACGGGAAGCCGUUGAUCAAUCUUCGGAGAGUGAAGCGGUGGAGAGUGGCGAAAGGGUGAGUAACACGUGCAUAAGCUACCCUCAGGUUGGGGACAACUCCGCGAAAGUGGAGCUAAUACCGAAUGUAGUCCCCCGGCUCCUGCCGGGGAGACAAAAGGUGGGGAUCCUUCGGGACCUGCCGCCUGAGGAGGCGUGCGCGCGCCAUUAGCUUGUUGGUGAGGUAACGGCUCACCAAGGCGUAUGGCUAGCUGGUCUGAGAGGAUGAUCAGCCACACUGGGACUGAGACACUGCCCAGACUCCUACGGGAGGCUGCAGUCGAGGAUCAUUCGCAAUGCGCGAAAGCGUGACGAUGCGACGCUGCGUGGAGGAUGACGGCCUUCGGGUUGUAAACUCCUGUCAUUCGGGAAAAAUGGCCCCAUUCCUAUAACGUUUGGGGUGUGAUGGUACCGGAAGAGGAAGCCACGGCUAACUCUGUGCCAGCAGCCGCGGUAAUACAGAGGUGGCGAGCGUUGUUCGGAUUUACUGGGCGUAAAGGGUGUGUAGGCGGUUUCGUAUGUCGGGUGUGAAAGCCCAUGGCUCAACCAUGGAAUUGCAUCCGAAACUGCGGAGCUAGAGGACAGAAGGGGAGAGCGGAAUUCUAGGUGUAGCGGUGAAAUGCGUUGAUAUCUAGAAGAACACCGGUGGCGAAGGCGGCUCUCUGGAAUGUUUCUGACGCUGAAACACGAAAGUUGGGAUAGCAAACAGGAUUAGAUACCCUGGUAGUCCCAACCGUAAACGAUGUGCACUUGGUGUGGGGGGUAUUGACCCCCCCCGUGCCGGAGCUAACGCGUUAAGUGCACCGCCUGGGGAGUACGGCCGCAAGGCUAAAACUCAAAGAAAUUGACGGGGGCCCGCACAAGCGGAGGAGCAUGUGGCUUAAUUCGAUGCAACGCGAAGAACCUUACCUGGGCUUGACAUGAUACUGCACGCCCGCCGAAAGGUGGGAAGCCUUCGAGGGUGUACCACAGGUGCUGCAUGGCUGUCGUCAGUUCGUGCCGUGAGGUGUUGGGUUAAGUCCCGCAACGAACGCAACCCUUGUGGUUAGUUGCCACCGCGGGUGAUGAGCCCGCGAGCACUCUAGCCAGACUGCCCGUACAAGCGGGAGGAAGGUGGGGAUGACGUCAAGUCAGUAUGGCCCUUACGUCCAGGGCUGCGCACGUGCUACAAUGGCCGGUACAAUGGGACGCAAUAUCGCGAGGUGGAGCAAAUCCCCAAAACCGGCCUCAGUUCGGAUUGGAGUCUGCAAUUCGACUCCAUGAAGUUGGAUUCGCUAGUAACGGCGCAUCAGCUACGGCGCCGUGAAUACGUUCCCGGGCCUUGUACACACCGCCCGUCACAUCAUGAAAGCCGUCUGCACCCGAAGUCGCUGAGCUAACCCGCAAGGGAGGCAGGUGCCGAAGGUGUGGGUGGUGAUUGGGAUGAAGUCGUAACAAGGUA